UACGUAGGGGGCAAGCGUUGUCCGGAUUUACUGGGCGUAAAGAGCGCGUAGGCGGAGAUCUAAGCGUGGCCUGAAAGCCCCCGGCUCAACCGGGGAGUGCGGCUGCGAACUGGGUUUCUUGAGGACGAUAGAGGAGAGUGGAAUUCCUGGUGUAGCGGUGAAAUGCGCAGAUAUCAGGAGGAACACCAAUGGCGAAGGCAGCUCGCUGGGACGGUACUGACGCUGAGACGCGAAAGCGUGGGGAGCAAACAGG
rnacentral:rRNA from 1 species